UGAGGGAAUAUUGGGUCAAUGGACGGAAGUCUGAACCAGCCAAGUCGCGUGAAGGAAGACGGUUCUAUGGAUUGUAAACUUCUUUUGCCUGAGGGUAAAACGCGGUACGUGUACCGCCUUGUAAGUAUCAGGUGAAUAAGCAUCGGCUAACUCCGUGCCAGCAGCCGCGGUAAUACGGAGGAUGCGAGCGUUAUCCGGAUUUAUUGGGUUUAAAGGGUGCGCAGGCGGUUCAUCAAGUCAGCGGUAAAAAUUCGGGGCUCAACCCCGUCCUGCCGUUGAAACUGACGAGCUGGAGUGCGACAGAGGAAUGCGGAAUGCGAGGUGUAGCGGUGAAAUGCAUAGAUAUCGCGCAGAACUCCGAUUGCGAAGGCAGCGUUCCAUGUCGUAACUGACGCUCAGGCACGAAAGCGU
rnacentral:rRNA from 1 species